UAGGGGGAGCCGCCGGCGCGAGAGGAGUAUUAGUUAUGUUCUUGAAACUUAAAGAAUUUGGCGGUAUCUUAUUCCAUCCAGAGGAAUCUGUCUCGUUAUCGAUAGUCCGCGUUGGACCUUACUUGGUUGCUUUGGUUUGUAUACCGCCGUUUAUUGAUUAUCUUUUUAGGGUUAAUUAAUUUUCUAGUUUCUUUAUUUUGAUUAAUUUCAGGUCAAGGUGCAGCUUGUUUCUAAGUGGUAUGAUGGAUUACAUUGUUAUUUGUUUGUUGGAUUAUUGGUUUUGACACUGGUAUGAAAUUGGAUUUGGUUGUAAUGUUUUGUAGAUUGUUUUCGUGAUAAUUGGUUCUGAGAUAUGUACACAUCGCCCGUCGCUCUCGUUUAUUUUGUUGAUGAGAUAAGUCGUAACAUAGUAAAGCCCCGAGAGCGACGGGCGAUGUGUACAUAUCUCAGAACCAAUUAUCGGAAAACAAUCUGGAAACAUUACAACCAAAUCCAAUUUAUACCAGUGUCAAAACCAAUAAUCAACAAACAAAAUAAAAUGUGAUCCAUCAUACCACUUAGAAAAAGG
rnacentral:rRNA from 1 species